rnacentral:rRNA from 1 species
GACGAACGCUGGCGGCGUGCUUAACACAUGCAAGUCGAACGAAGUGGCGAACGGGUGAGUAACGCGUAAUCAACCUGCCCUUCAGAGGGGGACAACAGUUGGAAACGACUGCUAAUACCGCAUACUGAAGGAGGGGAUUGGGUCUGAUUGGCUAGUUGGGGGGGUAACGGCCCACCAAGGCGAUGAGCAGUAGGCGGUCUGAGAGGAGGAAAGGGCACAUUGGGAAUGAGACACGGCCCAGACCCCUACGGGAGGCAGCAGUGGGGAAUCUUCCGCAAUGGACGAAAGUCUUACGGAGCAACGCCGGGGGGGUGAUGACGGGUUUCGGGUUGUAAAGCUCUGUUAAUCGGGACGCGGUACCGAAAUAGAAAGCCACGGCUAACUACGUGCCAGCAGCCGCGGUAAUAC